rnacentral:rRNA from 1 species
GGGGGGGGGGGGGGGGGGGGGGGGGGGGGGGGGGGGGGGCGGGGGGGGGGGGCGUGGGGGGGGGGGGCGGGGGGCGAAGGGGUGGGUAGCACGUGAGUAACCUGCCCGUGACUGGGGGAGAACGUCAGGAAACUGGGGCGAAUACCGGAUAGGAGCUCCUGCUGCAUGGUGGGGGUUGGAAAGUGUCGGCGGUUGGGGAUGGACUCGCGGCUUAUCAGCUUGUUGGUGGGGUAGUGGCUUACCAAGGCUUUGACGGGUAGCCGGCCUGAGAGGGUGACCGGCCACAUUGGGACUGAGAUACGGCCCAGACUCCUACGGGAGGCAGCAGUGGGGAAUAUUGCACAAUGGGCGGAAGCCUGAUGCAGCAACGCCGCGUGCGGGAUGACGGCCUUCGGGUUGUAAACCGCUUUCGCCUGUGACGAAGCGUGAGUGACGGUAAUGGGUAAAGAAGCACCGGCUAACUACGUG